CUGUAAACAAUUCCUCUGCCAGGAAAAUUUGCCAGUGCUAUAUUUAUUGAUUUCAGAAAGCUGUGACAAACAACCAUGAUGCUGUGUGUAGUAAAUCGUCAGAAUAUAGUGUAUCACCUACAGCUCUCAAUUGACUUAGGUCAACACUGUGAAAUCACCAAAAUCACCGUGGUUUUAGGGCACACCAAAUCUGCCUCUUAGUGGAUUUUUUUGGAGGCUCAUCAGACUUCAAGCUUAAUCUCACGUUAAUUGUAUUCUAAAUAAAUAACCAAUUUUGUGCAUGUGCUCUGUAUAAUGUCAUGUUACAAUAAACCUGCGGAGCAUUCAGUUGAUAUUAUGUCUCCUCUGAAGCCAGAAAUUUACUCCACUAAAAGCUGUUACAUAUCAGACUAGUCCUCUGCUAUCUAUGUUAUAUUUUCUCUGCUCUGUGUUUUGCCCUUUUAGAAGUAGCAAUCUACAGUUAAAUCACAGAAAAGAUGGUAUAAAGUUAUCGGCAGGGGAGGCCAGAUAGCCACUCUGGCCCAAACAAUCAUUUUCCCUCAACGUGUAUCUCCAUUCCGAGUCCUGUGCCUCGGGACUUUAGUUCAGUCUGUGCACCCAGCGUUGAUCAGGCUUAGGGAUUGAGCUCAUGCUGACUGAGCUGGAGAGACGAUAAAGGAAAUGCCAGCUUAUUAACUACCACGAGAAGCCUAACGUCACCGCAGAUCAGGAAUUCAGUGUGACUCUUCAGCACCUUCUCCUGUAGGAAAAUCCACCUGGUGGAGAAGAGCAGGAAAUCUGGCUUCAGAUAUAUAGAAAAAGCAAAAGAAGAAUGGUAACAGGGGAAAACACUCAAGAGAAUUGUUUCCUUGGAAAGCUGUUAAGAAGGCAUUAACAGAAAUUAUCCCAGCUGGAGUACUGAUCUAGCACACAUAAAAUCAGCAAUGGCCCUAUACACCCAAUGUAGCCAGAGAGGACUUCAUAUGCCUCAAGAAGGAUUUCAACUACUAACUGGAAAUCAAGGGAAGUUGAGUGUAUCCAUAAUCCAGUGCAAGUCACGGGAGUUCAUUCAAAACGUUGGCUGGUGAAUGUUUAUAGUUGAUUUCAAGAGGAGUGAACAAGGCAACUUGAAAGAACACAUACUGCUUUCAGAACUCAAGGUAAUUUUUAAAAAAGUGUGUGGAAGGGAAAAGAGCCUCUUAGCCAAUUAGCCUAGAAAACACACUCCACUUUAGGAUUAAAAUCACCCAGAUAUAGGUGAGGAUCCAAGUAGAGUCUCAUCUAUAUCAUCAAAGAGGUUCUUCAGCUAUUGAAAUGAAGAAGAGGGUAAACGUUUUAAUGGUGCAACAAUCAAAUGUUAAGAUUAUGUAGAAGUAGACAGGACCAACCGACCUUCAAGUGGUGGAGAUUUUUAAUGAGGCAGAAAAAUGGCUUUCAUUAUCUGGUUUAUUUUCCAAUUUAAAUGAUUCUUGUGGUAGUAUUAUACUGUAUAGAAGAGAGUUCCUCAACUGUAUGAAUUUGUCUUCCUCCAUAGAUGGUAUAUGUUUGAUUUGGUUUUAUAAAAGACUAUGUUAGCAUAAAGUAACACAACACAUUAACAGAAACCUCAAACUCCUAUAGAUAAUUUUUUCUGAGUUUAGAGGAGAGUGACAUGGGAAAGGAUGGUAACACAGGGAAAUAUAAGAUCCUUCUUCUAAAGUUUUAUCAGUAUUGGGAGUAAGAAUAUCAUUUUGCUAACCAAAAAAAAACUAUAUAAAACAGGCAAUUGGCUUAUUAUUUUUAUAGUCAAAUUUUAUUUCUUGUCAUAUAAGCUUACUGAUCUUCUGAUAUCUUAGGUGCAAAACAGAGAACUGAAGAUCAGUGUUUAGGUAGUAUCUAUGCAAGAUGGCUUAUUGAGUAUUGGACAGAAGACAACUCUAAGUUCUCUUUCUCCAACAGGAUAAGAAUGUGGGUGACUUCCUGCUGCUCUAAGCAUGGGCUACGAAUGGACUGGGUCCAUCUAACUCAACACUCACUUUUGUGGAUGUUGUAAGAGAAUCUUAGGAACUUUGGAGGAAAGAAUUGCCUUGCUUUUCUUUGUGUUUUGGU
ensembl:lncRNA